UGACAAGUCGAACGGUAACGAGGGAGCUUGCUCCGCUGACGAGUGGCGAACGGUGAGUAUGCAUCGGAACGUACCAGUCGUGGGGAUAACGUAGCGAAAGUUACGCUAAUACCGCAUACGUCCUGAGGGAGAAAGCGGGGGGACCGUAAGGCCUCGCGCGAUUGGAGCGGCCGAUGUCGGAUUAGCUAGUUGGUAGGGUAAAGGCCUACCAAGGCGACGAUCCGUAGCGGGUCUGAGAGGAUGAUCCGCCACACUGGGACUGAGACACGGCCCAGACUCCUACGGGAGGCAGCAGUGGGGAAUUUUGGACAAUGGGCGAAAGCCUGAUCCAGCCAUGCCGCGUGAGUGAAGAAGGCCUUCGGGUUGUAAAGCUCUUUCAGGUGGAAAGAAAACGCAUAGGUUAAUACCUUGUGCGGAUGACGGUACCAUCAGAAGAAGCACCGGCUAACUACGUGCCAGCAGCCGCGGUAAUACGUAGGGUGCGAGCGUUAAUCGGAAUUACUGGGCGUAA
rnacentral:rRNA from 1 species